CUCUGACUUCUGCUGCUGUUCUGCUUCUAUCUAUUCCAGCUUCUUCAGCAUCAAGCCCCUCAGGAGGACGGUGCAGAACCACCCGGGAAGAAGACAGGAAAGCAGAGUGUGCCACAGAGGCAGGUUCACUGACACCACGCUGUGACUUUCAAAAGGAAUCAAAUGCGUGAAAUGCAUAACAUGGGAGAAAUCUACAAUUAUCAUCAACAACAGAAGCAGAAUGGGUGGUUGCCAUAUUUCAAGAGGUAAAAAUCCGGACACAAAA